UACGAAGGGGGCUAGCGUUGCUCGGAAUUACUGGGCGUAAAGGGCGCGUAGGCGGCACUGUUAGUCAGGCGUGAAAGUCCUGGGCUCAACCUGGGAACUGCGCUUGGAUACGGCAGAGCUAGAGGAUGGAAGAGGGUCGCGGAAUUCCCAGUGUAGAGGUGAAAUUCGUAGAUACGUGGGAAGAACACCGGUGGCGAAGGCGGCGACCUGGUCCAUUACUGACGCUGAGGCGCGACAGCGUGGGGAGCAACAGG
rnacentral:rRNA from 1 species